AGUGAACGCUGGCGGUAGGCCUAACACAUGCAAGUCGAACGGCAGCACAUUAAGAGCUUGCUCUUACGGGUGGCGAGUGGCGGACGGGUGAGGAAUACAUCGGCAUCUACUUUUUCGUGGGGGAUAACUUAGGGAAACUUCUGCUAAUACCUCAUACCACCUACCGUUGAAAGCAGGUGAUCUUCGUACCUUGCCCGCUUUCAUGAGCCGAUGUGGGAUUAGCUAGUUGGCGGGGUAAAGGCCCACCAAGGCGACGAUCCGUAGCUGGUCUGAGAGGAGGACCAGCCAAACUGGAACUGAGACACGGUCCAGACUCCUAGGGGAGGAAGAAGUGGGGAAUAUUGGACAAUGGGGGAAAGCCUGAUCAAGCCAUACCGCGUGGGUGAAGAAGGCCUUCGGGUUGUAAAGCCCGUUUGUAGGGAAAGAAAAGCAGCAGGUUAAUACCCCGCUGUUCUGACGGUACCCAAAGAAUAAGCACCGGCUAACUUCGUG
rnacentral:rRNA from 1 species